GGCGCGAAGCUACCGUGCGCUGG
rnacentral:snRNA from 1 species